UACGUAGGGUGCGAGCGUUGUCCGGAAUUAUUGGGCGUAAAGGGCGCGUAGGCGGCCUUCUAAGUCGAACGUGAAAUCCCUGGGCUCAACCCAGGAACUGCGUCCGAUACUGGGAGGCUUGAAUCCGGGAGAGGGAUGUGGAAUUCCAGGUGUAGCGGUGAAAUGCGUAGAUAUCUGGAGGAACACCGGUGGCGAAGGCGGCAUCCUGGACCGGUAUUGACGCUGAUGCGCGAAAGCCAGGGGAGCAAACGGG
rnacentral:rRNA from 1 species